rnacentral:rRNA from 1 species
UCUGAAUCUGCGUACGGCUCCGCACACCAGUUGUAAACCAAAGCAAGCAAGCCCGGUCUCGACGCCUUUCGGGGCUAGAGUCCGGGCUACAAGGAUAACCCUGGUAAUUCUGAGGCUAAUACUUGACACGGAACCUGCUGACUGGGCCUCGGUCCGGGAGGUAGGGGAUGUGCGACCAUCGGGCCAAAGAAACCGGAAAGAGCGCACGUUCAGACCACUUAAAAAGGCCACGGGGUCCCUCGGGAUCUCGGGGCUGUGGCUCUUGCAGCGUGCUUCUGACCUAUCAACUAGACGGCAGCCUAAGGGACAUGCUUUGGU